rnacentral:rRNA from 1 species
CAGCCGCCGCGGGAAUACGUAGGUCCCGAGCGUUGUCCGGAUUUAUUGGGCGUAAAGCGAGCGCAGGCGGUUAGAUAAGUCUGAAGUUAAAGGCUGUGGCUUAACCAUAGUACGCUUUGGAAACUGUUUAACUUGAGUGCAAGAGGGGAGAGUGGAAUUCCAUGUGUAGCGGUGAAAUGCGUAGACAUAUGGAGGAACACCGGUGGCGAAAGCGGCUCUCUGGCUUGUAACUGACGCUGAGGCUCGAAAGCGUGGGGAGCAAACAGGAUUAGAUACCCCAGUAGUCCCUGUCUCUUAUACA